GACGAACGCUGGCGGCGUGCCUAAUACAUGCAAGUCGAACGCUUCUUUCCUCCCGAGUGCUUGCACUCCAUUGGAAAGAGGAGUGGCGGACGGGUGAGUAACACGUGGGUAACCUACCCAUCAGAGGGGGAUAACACUUGGAAACAGGUGCUAAUACCGCAUAACAGUUUAUGCCGCAUGGCAUAAGAGUGAAAGGCGCUUUCGGGUGUCGCUGAUGGAUGGACCCGCGGUGCAUUAGCUAGUUGGUGAGGUAACGGCUCACCAAGGCCACGAUGCAUAGCCGACCUGAGAGGGUGAUCGGCCACACUGGGACUGAGACACGGCCCAGACUCCUACGGGAGGCAGCAGUAGGGAAUCUUCGGCAAUGGACGAAAGUCUGACCGAGCAACGCCGCGUGAGUGAAGAAGGUUUUCGGAUCGUAAAACUCUGUUGUUAGAGAAGAACGAGGACGUUAGUAACUGAACGUCCCCUGACGGUAUCUAACCAGAAAGCCACGGCUAACUACGUG
rnacentral:rRNA from 1 species